GGGUUGUGGGGGGUCACUCUAGGCCCCGCAGCACUGUGCUGGAUGUUGCAGCUGCCUAGGAGUGAUUUCACACAGUCCUC
ensembl:miRNA